ACGAAGGGUGCAAGCGUUACUCGGAAUUACUGGGCGUAAAGGGUGCGUAGGUGGUUUUUUAAGUCUGCUGUGAAAUCCCCGGGCUCAACCUGGGAAUGGCAGUGGAUACUGGAAAGCUGGAGUGCGGUAGAGGGUAGUGGAAUUCCCGGUGUAGCAGUGAAAUGCGUAGAGAUCGGGAGGAACACCGGUGGCGAAGGCGGCCUGCUGGGCAGUGGCUGACGCUGAGGCGCGACAGCGUGGGGAGCAAACAGGA
rnacentral:rRNA from 1 species